AUUGAACGCUGGCGGCAUGCUUUACACAUGCAAGUCGAACGGCAGCGCGGUCUUCGGCCUCUCUGCGAGUGGCCAACGGGCGAGUAAUGGAGCGGAACGUGGCCAUCUACUGUGGCUAGCGCGGCGAAAUACGGAUUAAUACGCCAAUCGACCUGACGGCGAAAGGGUGGGACCGAAAGGCCUCGCGCCAUUGGACGGGCCGAUGUCGGAUUAGCUAGUUGGCGGGGUAAAGGCGUACCAAGGCGACGAUCCGUAGCUGGUCUGAGAGGACGACCAGCCACACUGGGACUGAGACACGGCCCAGACUCCUACGGGAGGCAGCAGUGGGGAAUUUUGGACAAUGGGGGCAACCCUGAUCCAGCCAUGCCGCGUGCGGGAAGAAGGCCUUCGGGUUGUAAACCGCUUUUGUUCGGGAAGAAAUCCUCUGGGCUAAUACCCCGGGGGGAUGACGGUACCGGAAGAAUAAGCACCGGCUAACUACGUG
rnacentral:rRNA from 1 species